UACGAAGGGGGCUAGCGUUGUUCGGAUUUACUGGGCGUAAAGCGCACGUAGGCGGGUUGUUAAGUCAGGGGUGAAAUCCUGGAGCUCAACUCCAGAACUGCCUUUGAUACUGGCAACCUAGAGGCUGGAAGAGGUUAGUGGAAUUCCCAGUGUAGAGGUGAAAAUUCGUAGAUAUCGGGAGGAACACCAGUGGCGAAGGCGACUACCUGGCCUGUUCUUGACGCUGAGGCGCGAAAGCUAGGGGAGCAAACGGG
rnacentral:rRNA from 1 species